GGCCUAAUGGUCUAGUCGUAUGAUUCCUGCUUUGGGCUUAGCUUAAUUGCAGGAGGUCCCGCGUUCAAUUCGCGGUUGGGCCC